rnacentral:rRNA from 1 species
AACGAACGCUGGCGGCAGGCCUAACACAUGCAAGUCGAACGAUAACUGCGAGUCGCGUGCCUCACUGGUGCGUAGCGCGUGAGGGCCUGCCCUUGGGUUGGGAAUAGCUCAGCGGAGGGGGUUCUCAUACCGAAUGAUAACUUCAUACCAAAGAUGUAUCGCCGUUGGAUGGGCCCGCGUUGGGUGAGCUUGUUGGUUGGGUAAAAGGCUACCAAGGCGACGAGUUGUAGAGGGGAUGAGAGGAUGAGCACACACACUGGGACUGGGCCACGGCGCAGACUAUUAGGGGAAGCAGCAGUGGGGAAUAUUGCAAAAUGGGGGAAAGGCUGAUGCAGUAAGGACGGGUGAGUGAUGAAGGUCUUAGGGUAGUAAAGUUAUUUUAUACGGGAUGAUAAUGACGGUACCGGGAGAAUAAGCACCGGCUAACUUCGUG